rnacentral:rRNA from 1 species
UACGUAGGGUGCGAGCGUUAAUCGGAAUUACUGGGCGUAAAGCGUGCGCAGGCGGUUUUGUAAGCCAGAUGUGAAAUCCCCGGGCUUAACCUGGGAAUGGCAUUUGGGACUGCAAGGCUGGAGUGUGGCAGAGGAGACUGGAAUUCCUGGUGUAGCAGUGAAAUGCGCAGAUAUCAGGAGGAACACCGGUGGCGAAGGCGGGUCUCUGGGCCGAAUGACUGACGUGGAGGAGCGAAAGCGUGGGGAGCGAACAGGA